UNGCAUCAUGUCUACUUGCAUUCUGCUG
rnacentral:piRNA from 1 species